rnacentral:rRNA from 1 species
CCUACGGGGGGCAGCAGUGAGGAAUAUUGGUCAAUGGACGAGAGUCUGAACCAGCCAAGUAGCGUGAAGGAUGACUGCCCUAUGGGUUGUAAACUUCUUUUAUAUGGGAAUAAAAUGUUCCACGUGUGGGAUUUUGUAUGUACCAUAUGAAUAAGGAUCGGCUAACUCCGUGCCAGCAGCCGCGGUAAUACGGAGGAUCCGAGCGUUAUCCGGAUUUAUUGGGUUUAAAGGGAGCGUAGGUGGAUUGUUAAGUCAGUUGUGAAAGUUUGCGGCUCAACCGUAAAAUUGCAGUUGAAACUGGCAGUCUUGAGUUCAGUAGAGGUGGGCGGAAUUCGUGGUGUAGCGGUGAAAUGCUUAGAUAUCACGAAGAACUCCGAUUGCGAAGGCAGUUCACUGGACUGCAACUGACACUGAGGCUCGAAAGUGUGGGUAUCAAACAGGAUUAGAUACCCGAGUAGUC